rnacentral:rRNA from 1 species
GACGAACGCUGGCGGCGUGCCUAAUACAUGCAAGUCGAACGCUUCUUUCCUCCCGAGUGCUUGCACUCAAUUGGAAAGAGGAGUGGCGGACGGGUGAGUAACACGUGGGUAACCUACCCAUCAGAGGGGGAUAACACUUGGAAACAGGUGCUAAUACCGCAUAACAGUUUAUGCCGCAUGGCAUCAGAGUGAAAGGCGCUUUCGGGUGUCGCUGAUGGAUGGACACGCGGUGCAUUAGCUAGUUGGUGAGGUAACGGCUCACCAAGGCCACGAUGCAUAGCCGAUCUGAGAGGGUGAUCGGCCACACUGGGACUGAGACACGGCCCAGACUCCUACGGGAGGCAGCAGUAGGGAAUCUUCGGCAAUGGGCGAAAGUCUGACCGAGCAACGCCGCGUGAGUGAAGAAGGUCUUCGGAUCGUAAAACUCUGUUGUUAGAGAAGAACAAGGACGUUAGUAACUGAACGUGCCCUGACGGUAUCUAACCAGAAAGCCACGGCUAACUACGUG